rnacentral:rRNA from 1 species
GACGAACGCUGGCGGCGUGCCUAAUACAUGCAAGUCGAGCGAAUGACGAGAAGCUUGCUUCUCUGAUUUAGCGGCGGACGGGUGAGUAACACGUGGGCAACCUGCCCUACAGAUUGGGAUAACUCAGGGAAACCUGGGCUAAUACCGAAUAAUCCUUCGAAUCACAUGUUUUGAAGUUGAAAGGCGCUUCGGCGUCACUGUAGGAUGGGCCCGCGGUGCAUUAGCUAGUUGGUGGGGUAACGGCCUACCAAGGCAACGAUGCAUAGCCGACCUGCGGGGGUGAUCGGCCACAUUGGGACUGAGAUACGGCCCAAACUCCUACGGGAGGCAGCAGUAGGGAAUCUUCCACAAUGGACGAAAGUCUGAUGGAGCAACGCCGCGUGAGUGAUGAAGGUUUUCGGAUCGUAAAACUCUGUUGUAAGGGAAGAACAAGUACGUUAGGAAAUGAACGUACCUUGACGGUACCUUAUUAGAAAGCCACGGCUAACUACGUGCCAGCCGCCGCAGUAA